GCUGGCGGCAUGCCUAACACACGCAAGUCGAACGCGAAAGCCCUUCGGGGUGAGUAGAGUGGCGGACGGGUGAGUACGCGUGGGAAUCUGCCCUGUAGUGGGGAACAACCCGGGGAAACUCGGGCUAAUACCGCAUACGUCUUACGGGAGAAAGGGGGCUUCGGCUCUCGCUACAGGAUGAGCCCGCGUCCGAUUAGCUAGUUGGUGGGGUAAAGGCCUACCAAGGCGACGAUCGGUAGCUGGUCUGAGAGGAUGAUCAGCCACACUGGGACUGAGACACGGCCCAGACUCCUACGGGAGGCAGCAGUGGGGAAUAUUGGACAAUGGGCGAAAGCCUGAUCCA
rnacentral:rRNA from 1 species